GACAGAGGGUGCAAACGUUGUUCGGAUUUACUGGGCGUAAAGCGUGUGUAGGCGGCUUCGCAAGUUGGAUGUGAAAUCCCACGGCUCAACCGUGGACGUGCAUCCAAAACUGCGUCGCUAGAGUCUCGGAGAGGAAGGUGGAAUGCUUGGUGUAGAGGUGAAAUUCGUAGAUAUCAAGCAGAACACCUGCGGCGAAGGCGGCCUGCUGGGCAGUUGCUGACGCUGAGGCGCGACAGCGUGGGGAGCAAACAGG
rnacentral:rRNA from 1 species